GGGGGGGGGGUGCUUACCAUGCAGUCGAACGCUGAGCACCAGCUUGCUGGUGUGGAUGAGUGGCGAACGGGUGAGUAAUACGUGAGUAACCUGCCCUUGACUCUGGGAUAAGCCCGGGAAACUGGGUCUAAUACUGGAUGCUACAUGUCACCGCAUGGUGGUGUGUGGAAAGGGUUUACUGGUCUUGGAUGGGCUCACGGCCUAUCAGCUUGUUGGUGAGGUAAUGGCUCACCAAGGCGACGACGGGUAGCCGGCCUGAGAGGGUGACCGGCCACACUGGGACUGAGACACGGCCCAGACUCCUACGGGAGGCAGCAGUGGGGAAUAUUGCACAAUGGGCGAAAGCCUGAUGCAGCGACGCCGCGUGAGGGAUGACGGCCUUCGGGUUGUAAACCUCUUUCAGCAGGGAAGAAGCCACAAGUGACGGUACCUGCAGAAGAAGCGCCGGCUAACUACGUGCCAGCAGCCGCGGUAAUACGUAGGGCGCAAGCGUUGUCCGGAAUUAUUGGGCGUAAAGAGCUCGUAGGCGGUUUGUCGCGUCUGCUGUGAAAGCCCGGGGCUUAACCCCGGGUGUGCAGUGGGUACGGGCAGACUAGAGUGCAGUAGGGGAGACUGGAAUUCCUGGUGUAGCGGUGGAAUGCGCAGAUAUCAGGAGGAACACCGAUGGCGAAGGCAGGUCUCUGGGCUGUUACUGACGCUGAGGAGCGAAAGCAUGGGGAGCGAACAGGAUUAGAUACCCUGGUAGUCCAUGCCGUAAACGUUGGGCACUAGGUGUGGGGGACAUUCCACGUUUUCCGCGCCGUAGCUAACGCAUUAAGUGCCCCGCCUGGGGAGUACGGCCGCAAAGCUAAAACUCAAAGGAAUUGACGGGGGCCCGCACAAGCGGCGGAGCAUGCGGAUUAAUUCGAUGCAACGCGAAGAACCUUACCAAGGCUUGACAUAUACCGGGAUCGUUCCAGAGAUGGUUCUUCCCCUUUGGGGUCGGUAUACAGGUGGUGCAUGGUUGUCGUCAGCUCGUGUCGUGAGAUGUUGGGUUAAGUCCCGCACGAGCGCAACCCUCGUUCCAUGUUGCCAGCACGUGAUGGUGGGGACUCAUGGGAAACUGCUCGGGU
rnacentral:rRNA from 1 species